CUACGGAGGGUCCAAGCGUUAUCCGGAAUCAUUGGGUUUAAAGGGUCCGUAGGCGGGCAAUUAAGUCAGAGGAGAAAUCCCACAGCUCAACUGUGGAACUGCCUUUGAUACUGGUUGUCUUGAAUUAUAGUGAAGUAGAUAGAAUAUGUAGUGUAGCGGUGAAAUGCUUAGAUAUUACAUAGAAUACCGAUUGCGAAGGCAGUCUACUAACUGUAUAUUGACGCUGAUGGACGAAAGCGUGGGGAGCGAACAGGAUUAGAAACCCUAGUAGUCC
rnacentral:rRNA from 1 species